rnacentral:rRNA from 1 species
CAGUCGCCGCGGUAAUACGAAGGGGGCUAGCGUUGUUCGGAUUUACUAAGCGUAAAGCGCACGUAGGCGGACUUUUAAGUCAGGGGUGAAAUCCCGGGGCUCAACCCCGGAACUGCCUUUGAUACUGGAAGUCUUGAGUAUGGUAGAGGUGAGUGGAAUUCCGAGUGUAGAGGUGAAAUUCGUAGAUAUUCGGAGGAACACCAGUGGCGAAGGCGGCUCACUGGACCAUUACUGACGCUGAGGUGCGAAAGCGUGGGGAGCAAACAGGAUUAGAUACCCCUGUAGUCCCUGUCUCUUAUAC